ACGAACGCUGGCGGCGUGCCUAAUCCAUGCAAGUUGAGCGAUGAAGAUUGGUGCUUGCCCCAAUUUGAAGAGCAGCGAACGGGUGAGUAACGCGUGGGGAAUCUGCCUUUGAGCGGGGGACAACAUUUGGAAACGAAUGCUAAUACCGCAUAACAACUUUAAACAUAAGUUUUAAGUUUGAAAGAUGCAAUUGCAUCACUCAAAGAUGAUCCCGCGUUGUAUUAGCUAGUUGGUGAGGUAAAGGCUCACCAAGGCGAUGAUACAUAGCCGACCUGAGAGGGUGAUCGGCCACAUUGGGACUGAGACACGGCCCAAACUCCUACGGGAGGCAGCAGUAGGGAAUCUUCGGCAAUGGACGAAAGUCUGACCGAGCAACGCCGCGUGAGUGAAGAAGGUUUUCGGAUCGUAAAACUCUGUUGGUAGAGAAGAACGUUGGUGAGAGUGGAAAGCUCAUCAAGUGACGGUAACUACCCAGAAAGGGACGGCUAACUACGUG
rnacentral:rRNA from 1 species